AGUCUUGGACCGAAAACUCCAUGAAAUCGGUGGUGUUUGGACUGAAAUCAUUAAGUGAUUUCGGUUGGAUUAUAUGGUCACUUAUCUAAAUGGCGCGUUCUAGUUCAACAGAGUUUAAAGAGCUACGAUUGCUGAUCGGUUCCUGAAGUCAUACUUGCAACUAUAGUUAUUAGACUUAUCCAAGUGGGAGACUGUUGGAUAUAGUGUCUAAGUUCAUAACUAUAUUUGGUAUGUACUUGACCCGACCCGGCAUGGUCCAUUUGGGUUGCACUUCACCCGAACAAUUAUUGGAUAAUAUUUGAGAAUAGUACAGGUUAUGAUUUAUUAAUAUAUUAUAAGUUCUAAUAUAUUAAUAUAAGAUCAUAUUAUUUAAUUAGUAGUGAUCUAUAAUUAAUCUAGGAUUAAUUUAGUGAUCAAAGAUAUUACUAAUUAAAUAUGGGCUUCUAUAUUUAUAUAGUGUGGGCUAGUGCUUAUUUGGAAUGGGCUAGGCUUGCAUGGAAAAGUCCAUGGAUACUCCAUGGAGCUUUGACCCAUGGAUCUCAUGGAAAUGAAGAGACAUGGGUAUUAGGGUUUACAUGGAUGUAACCCUAAUCCACCACACUAUAUAAAGGAGGCUUUGGUUCUUGAAAUCAUACUAGUUGACACUUGUUGAGGUGAGACCGAUUUCAAGAUAGUAGUAUCUAUUCUCUCAAAGUUCCAAGUUUGUGGUGAUUUGUGAUUUCCACUUGAGGCAUCCACACUAUUGGUGCUAGGCUCUAAAACUCCAAGCAAUCAACUACAACUUCAAGGUAAGCAUUUCUACUAGCUUUAUUUGAUUCAUGUUCCCCAUGCCAUGCUAGUUAGGAUAUGAACCUUGGAAAAAUAAUUAUUUGCAUGUAUCUUAGACAAACAUAGAUCCAAGGUUUAUUAGGGUUGCAUGUACACUUAGGAAGUGUUAGAAUGCUCAAAACCCAUCAGUGGUAUCAGAGCCUAGGCUUGUUUGUUUGAUACUUGAUGCAAAAUAGUUGAAAAAGUCGAAAAUGGACUAGAAACAUUACCCUAAACUGUUUUGGUACUUGAAAACUUGUUUUAGAUGGUGUAAUGUCUUUGCUAAUCCAUUUACAACAACUUGUUAUCAAAAUUACAAAGUUUUAUGUGUAAUUUUUGAUUCAUGAAAGUGUUCAUAUUCAUGUUCUUGAUCUUAUGAUGUUUAGAUGAUCAUAGGAAUUAUUUGUAACCUAUGUGGUAGUUUAAUUCUUGAUCAUAAUGUGUUUUAAUGGAGUCCAUAACUUGUCCUCAAGUUAUGGAAAACCAAAAGUCACUUGAAUUUAAAAACCAUUAAAAGAACACAAGAGUUAGAAAAAUGAAGAGUCUUCAUUUUAUUACUCUAUUAAACUCAUAAGUUACAAGAAAUGAAAAGUUUUGAAAGUUUACAAAACUUGCCCUCAAGUUUUGGAACAAGUAAAGUCAAGUUAAAACUUUAGUUCCAACCCUUAGAAUUUUAAAAGUUAAAAUUCAACCCUUAUACUUAUAUUAUUAUGAUUUAAUAAUUAUAUAUAUAUGUAUAAGAACAAAGUCGUCUUACCGCUAGUACGCCUCAUUCACGAAGCCGGUCUAUAAGGUGGGUAUAAGGUUGUUGCCUAUAAAAUGGUGACUUAAUGGGUGUCCACUCUCACCCACCGCUUGCUUGAUCGGUGGAGGGUCGUUAGCCGAACGGGUAAGACAAGGACUUAUUAAUUCUCAUUCAAAGUAUGAUGAAUAUUAUAAAGUAACUAAAUGUUUUAUUAAAUUCCCAAUCUUAGUUACUUUAGGAAAAAUGUGAAUAAGGUGCUAUUCCAUGAAAUUACACUUUACACUUUGAUUAAGUCGUUGGUGGAGCGUGUGUGGUUAACCGGCACACUAACUUGGACUUAACAAGGUAGGUAAAGGGUGACUUAGGGUUUAUUAUAGUAUCGAUGGAGCGUGUGUGGUUAACCGGCACAUCGAUUGAGUGAUAAACUUUAAGGGUACCAAGUGAUUUGCAUGGUUACUUCACACCUCGUUUUGUGAUCCUCGGUAUCCCAGUCACAAAACUUGGAGGGCACACUCGAGAUUGAAACAUGCCUUUGAAAAGUUCAUUGAAUCUCAAAGAAUCUAGGAAUUUCUAAGAACCAUUCAAAAACCUAAUACUAAAAUAUUGCGGUUUUCGUGGUGGAAAUUGGUGAAUCGUCAUUCACCUACCUUUCAAAUAUGAUAUAGCUUAGAUUACGGCAUACCUCUUCUAAGUUAUAUUAUAUUGUGAUUGGAUCCUAGCCUUAAUAUUACAUUUGGGUGUUUUAUUAAGGACUCUCUUAUAUCUAAACUAAUCUUGUCCUCUUUCCUUCAGAUGUCUUUCAACAAUGCUUCUGGCUCUAAUCCUAAUGGCUCCUUUACCCUUAUGAACUUGUGUGGGAAAGUCACCUUUGAUGGAUCCAACUUCAAUGAGUGGAUCAGAAACAUCAGGAUGAUUACCCGCUACGAGGACAAAGAAUAUGUCCUUGACAAGGAGCUUAAGGAGAUUGAUGAGUCCACUGCAACUCCUCAGGAGAUCGCUGAAUUUCGGGCACAUGAAAGGGAUGCUACGAAAGUGGCUUGCAUCAUGAUGGCCACGAUGACAGCGGAACUCCAAAAGUCUUAUGAGGAUUUCUACCCUUAUGAAAUGCACCAAGAUUUGAUGGAAAGAUACCAUCAAAGUGCAAGACAAGAGAGGUAUGAAAUCAUCUGCUCCAUGAUAACAACCAUGAUGAAGGACGGGGAAUCCGUCACGAGCCACAUGCAGAAAAUGCAAAGGUAUGUGGAUCGUUUGCUGAAGCUUAAUGUGAACUUCCCGGAGGAUCUUGCAAUAGAUAUUAUUUUGCAUUCCUUACCAUCGUGCUAUGAUCAAUUCCGCAUGACAUAUCACAUGAACAAGGAAGAAGUCACCCUCAGCAAACUUCAGGGACUUCUCAAGACCGCAGAAUCAGGUCUUAAGGGGAAGUCGGUUGCUAUCACUCCUACUCAAAACUCUACUCCGGUUUUGGCAAUCGGGAAAAGUCGAGGGAGGAAGAGAAAGAGCUCUUCUAAGGGUACCAAGGUUCGGACCCUUGAUGGCUCUUCUUCAAGUGGAACCAAGAAAGGUUUCAUUACUCCUUCUUCUGACCCAAAAGAGGCUGAAUGCUUCUAUUGCCAUGAAAAAGCUCAUUGGAAGCGGAACUGCCCAAAAUACCAGCAAGAUGUGAAGGAUGGGAAAGUUAAACCCAACCAUGCAGGUAUUUACACUAUCAUUUCUAAUAACUCACCCCAUUCUAAUUCUUGGGUCCUUGAUACCGGGUGUGGUAUUCACAUUUGUUGUGACUUGCAGGGACUAAGAAGAAGUGAGGAUGUGGAGCAAGGAAGGAUAAACUUGAUCAUGGGGAAUAGGAAAGCUAUACCUGUUACCAAGAUUGGAGUUUAUACUUUAUCGCUAAGUAGUGGGUUUAGUUUAGAUUUGAAUAAGUGUUGUUAUUCGCCAGGAAUGGCAAGAAAUAUUAUUUCCUUUCAUGCUUUGUACAAACAAGGGUUUACCUUUUCAUUUAAUAAUGAAGUUGGUUCUAUAGAUGUUUUCUAUAAUAAUGUCUUUUAUUUUAAAGCAUUACCUUGUGAUGGUGUGUAUGAAGCUGUAUCUGUUGUAGAUAACUUGGGAAAUAAUGUUUUGUGUAUUGAUUCUACUAAUAAUAACUUGGAUAAAGCAUCUUUAUGGCAUUGUCGUCUUGGACAUAUAAGCAAGAAACGCAUAGGCCAACUCCAAAAGGAUGGAGUCUUGGAGUCGUUUGACCUAAAGUCAGAUGAUAGUUGCGAAUCAUGCUUACUUGGAAAAAUGACAAAGUCACCCUUCACAGGUUCGUGUGAGAGGGGUGAAGGUUUGUUGGACCUUAUACACACGGAUGUGUGUGGACCAUUCAAACAUGCCACAAGGGAUGCUAAUCGUUAUUAUUUGACUUUUACUGAUGAUUACAGUAGAUAUGGAUAUGUCUACUUAAUCAAGCAUAAGUCAGAGACUUUCGAGAGGUUUAAGGAAUUUAAACAGGAAGUCGAGAAUCAAUUGGGCAGGAACAUUAAGAUGCUUCGAUCCGAUCGAGGAGGUGAGUAUCUUAGUUCAGAGUUCCUCGACUAUCUUAGGGAAUGUGGGAUUGUCUCACAAUUGACACCUCCCAGGACACCACAGUUGAAUGGUGUGGCUGAGAGGCGUAAUCGAACCUUGUUGGAUAUGGUUCGUUCCAUGAUGAGUCGAGCUACGCUACCAAUCUCAUUCUGGGGGUAUGCCUUAGAGACUGCCGCCCAUAUUCUUAAUCUUGUCCCUACAAAGAAAGUUGCCAAAACUCCUCACGAGAUGUGGACUGGGAAAGUACCUAAGCUAGACCACAUCAAGAUUUGGGGUUGUGAGGCUUUCGUGAGACGCGAGACUCAUGAUAAGCUCGAACCUCGAAGCGAGAGGUGUAUUUUCAUCGGCUACCCACAACAAUCCUUUGGUUACCUCUUCUACAGACCUAGUGAUAAUGUGGUCUUUGUAGCAAGAAGAGGAGUUUUUCGAGAGAGAGAAUUUAUAAGCCAAGGGGACAGUGGGAGGCAAAUUGAUCUUGAAGAAAUUCAAGAGUCAAGCGGUGAAGGAACUUCAAACACUAGCCCUCAACUUGAGGAGGAAACUCCUGUUGAGCCAGUUGAUGUGCCUGUACCUCUUAGGCGUUCCACAAGAGUUAGGAAUGCACCUGAGCAUUAUUAUGGCUUCCAUAUUACUGCGGAAGGUGAGACACUUAUUAGUGAUGAGACACUAGUAGGUCUGGAUGAACCUAACAGCUACACGGAAGCCAUGGCAGGCCCUGAGGCUGCCAAGUGGAAAGAGGCAAUGGAUAGCGAGAUACAAUCCAUGUAUGACAAUCAAGUUUGGAACUUGGUUGAAAAUGUACCAGGUCGUAAGACAGUGGGGUGCAAAUGGAUCUUCAAGAAGAAGACCGACAUGGACGGUAAUGUACACACUUAUAAGGCACGACUGGUUGCAAAAGGUUAUUCUCAAACUCUGGGAGUUGAUUAUGAUGAAACCUUUUCACCAGUGGCCAAGAUAAAGUCUAUUAGGGUUCUGUUAGCCAUUGCUGCAUUUCAUGAUUAUGAAAUAUGGCAAAUGGAUGUCAAAACUGCCUUCCUUAAUGGAAAGUUGGCUGAGGAUGUUUACAUGGUUCAGCCAGAGGGUUUUGUCAGUACAGAGUACCCCAAUAGAGUGUGUAAGCUCGAGAAAUCCAUUUAUGGAUUGAAACAGGCACCUCGCAGAUGGAAUCUUUGCUUUGAUGAGAAAGUCAAGGAAUUUGGCUUUUCAAGGAGUGAAGAUGAAUCUUGCGUCUAUAUCAAGGCUAGUGGGAGCAUAGUCAGUUUUUUGGUACUGUAUGUGGAUGACAUACUACUCAUAGGAAAUGACAUCCCAACCUUGCAGGAAGUAAAGUCCUGGCUUGGGAAGUGUUUUGCUAUGAAGGACCUUGGUGAAGCUGCCUAUAUCCUAGGGAUAAGGAUUUUGAGAAACAGGAGUAAAAGACUAAUUGGACUUAGUCAAAGCACCUAUGUGGACAAAGUGUUGAAAAGAUUCAACAUGCAUAACUCCAAGAAAGGUGAGUUACCUAUUCAGAGUAAUGCCAGAUUGAGUAAGACACAAAGCCCUAGCACUGAGGCUGAGAUAGCAGAAAUGAGUCGACUACCUUAUGCUUCAGCUGUAGGAUCGAUCAUGUAUGCUAUGACGUGUACUCGACCUGAUGUAGCCUUUGCUUUAAGCAUGGUUAGCAGGUAUCAGGGGAACCCUGGCAAGGAACACUGGACUACGAUAAAGAAUAUCCUCAAGUACCCGCGAAGGACUAAGGACUGGGUACUUACUUUCGGUGGGAGUGAUGACUUGAGAGUUGUAGGGUAUAGUGAUGCUAGCUUCCAGACUGAUAGGGAUAAUUUCCGCUCUCAGUCGGGCUGGGUCUUUACCCUAAACGGAGGAGCAAUUUCUUGGAAGAGUUCCAAGCAAGAGACAGUGGCAGAUUCAACUUGUGAAUCAGAGUAUAUAGCAGCAAGCGAGGCAGCAAAGGAGGCUAUAUGGCUAAAGAACUUCAUCGGAGACCUUGGAGUUGUACCAGCUAUAAAAGAGCCAAUGGAGAUUUUCUGUGACAGCAAUAGUGCGGUUGCCUUAGCCAAGGAACCAAGGGAUCACGGGAGAUCCAGACACAUCGACAGAAAAUACCAUUUUAUCAGACAUCGAAUUGAAGAAGGACUCCUCAUGGCGAAGAGGGUAUCAUCGGAUGAGAACCCGGCAGAUCCCCUCACGAAGGGACUGAGUAGGGUUAAGCAUCUCCAGCAUGCUCGGAGCAUAGGGCUGAAGGAUGAUAUAAGUUUUAGUAGUUAGAUAACCCAGAAAUUUGUAAAGUGUAAUUGACAUUUGAUGAUGAAUAAAAGGUGUUUUAUUUAUGAGUAAAGUGUUGCUAUCUCUUGUCGAUCGUUUACUAUAUUUCUUUUGCAUGUUUUGACUUCCAGAAUAAUUAUGUUUGGUAUAUCAUAUUAUUCAAACCUCCACAGUCGGUCAUAUGUCGGAAGUAGGUAUGAAUCAAGACUGUCAUGAUUGGUUGCAGAGGUCUAAGGUGUUGGACAAGGCUACAACAAUCAUGAGUGCUCAUAAGUUCUGAGCAUUGGACUCAACCCACGCUCACUGGAAUCACUUCAUGGAAUUUUAUCUCGAGUGAUCGUGAGACGGUAAUAUCAUAUAAGUCUUCAAACCUAGAGAUAUGAUUUGUUACUUACGAGUUGGUUAUGCAUUGAUUGUACGAAAACGCAUUGGUAACUCGAUGUUAUAAAACGUGCUUUUGUGUGUAAUUCAAUGAGUGGUAGAACAAACAUAUGAGUCGAAGUUUAUCUGUUCCUUCUUGGAUUAGAAGCUGAUAUCUGGGCCACUCGAUGAUUUUGUUUUGACCUAUGUACCGGGCCCGGUCAGAACUAAGUUGAUGUGUUCAAUUAAGUUCUUUGUCAAACAAAUCAGAAAUCGGGAAACAAACUGCUGGACAAUAAGUAAGACAAUGUUCCAUGUAUUUGUCCGGCUGAUAUCUAGAACAGAGGAUUAUAUGAUCACUUAUCUAAAUGGCGCGUUCUAGUUCAACAGAGUUUAAAGAGCUACGAUUGCUGAUCGGUUCCUGAAGUUAUACUUGCAAAUAUAGUUACUAGACUUAUCCAAGUGGGAGACUGUUGGAUAUAGUGUCUAAGUCCAUAACUAUAUUUGGUAUGUACUUGACCCGACCCGGCAUGGUCCAUUUGGGUUGCACUUCACCCGAACAAUUAUUGGAUAAUAUUUGAGAAUAGUACAGGUUAUGAUUUAUUAAUAUAUUAUAAGUUCUAAUAUAUUAAUAUAAGAUCAUAUUAUUUAAUUAGUAGUGAUCUGUAAUUAAUCUAGGAUUAAUUUAGUGAUCAAAGAUAUUACUAAUUAAAUAUGGGCUUCUAUAUUUAUAUAGUGUGGGCUAGUGCUUAUUUGGAAUGGGCUAGGCUUGCAUGGAAAAGUCCAUGGAUACUCCAUGGAGCUUUGACCCAUGGAUCUCAUGGAAAUGAAGAGACAUGGGUAUUAGGGUUUACAUGGAUGUAACCCUAAUCCACCACACUAUAUAAAGGAGGCUUUGGUUCUUGAAAUCAUACUAGUUGACACUUGUUGAGGUGAGGCCGAUUUCAAGAUAGUAGUAUCUAUUCUCUCAAAGUUCCAAGUUUGUGGUGAUUUGUGAUUUCCACUUGAGGCAUCCACACUAUUGGUGCUAGGCUCUAAAACUCCAAGCAAUCAAUACACCUUCAAAGGUAAGCAUUUCUACUAGCUUUAUUUGAUUCAUGUUCCCCAUGCCAUGCUAGUUAGGAUAUGAACCUUGGAAAAAUAAUUAUUUGCAUGUAUCUUAGACAAACAUAGAUCCAAGGUUUAUUAGGGUUGCAUGUACACUUAGGAAGUGUUAGAAUGCUCAAAACCCAACACCUAUAGGGACCGAACUGCUGAGGAACCGAAACCUUUAGGACCGAACCCGAACCUUGCACUUGGGACCGAACCGAACUUCUAGCCUUCGGACCAAACCUCCUCUCGCCUUAGUUCAAUUUUGACCACCUUCGCCUUCGGUUCCCACCAAGCAACCGAACCCUCGCACCUUCGGUCCCCCAUGCGAGAAGCCUCGCAAACUUCGCCUUUCUUCCCGGUUUUUGACUAGUUUUGAGUUCUAAGCCUGAUUUAAAUUAUUUUAUCGUGGGGUUUUCAACCAAAAACAUAUUUUAACAUAUAAAACCCCUUAUUUCAUAAUUAAUCACGUUUUGAGGCAUAAUCCUUAUCCAAGAAGAGUGGGUGGGAUAUUAUUGGUGGAGUGCUGACUUUGCUUUAGUGUAUGACACAAGCAACCACCCCAUUCCCACUCAAUGACCAACUCUUGUCCUUCCACCAUACCUAGUCAUUGCAUAGUACUCUUCCUACCAUUUUCCUGCCACACACUUGGGCA
rnacentral:lncRNA from 1 species